UCAUUUUGCCUGGGGGAAUUCUAGGGUGGCUUGACCCAGAAUGUGGCAGCUUGGUGGCUGGUGAAGUAAAAGCAAAAAAAAUUUAUGGAUGGGAAAUGACCAAAAGGAUGGCAGAUUACAGAAGAAAGAUUGGAAGACUGGAGGGAGAAAGGCUAUGAAAGACACUGAUGCUGUUGCCCACUCCACUGGAGGCCCGAGACAUCAGUUCUUCACCACAGUGAUCUUCAACUGCCCAUUACUUCUGCCACGCUGAUGGCGGACGCUGGCACCAGAGUCUCAGUCCACCUGACAGGUAAUCACCAUCACCCAGGCCUGCUGAAGGACCUUGAACUCCUACAUCAUACUCUUUGAGCUCAGCCCCUCUCUCCUCAGGUUUCUCAUUCUUUCUUUCCCACAUCUGCUCUCUAGACUUCUCCUUCCCCUCCACCCACUGCCCUCUGCCCUUGUUGCCUUAUUUCCUUCAUGACCCAUUCAUUCCUAAUUCAUAUGAUAGUUUAAUUGCUCCUCUGAUUAUCUUCAACAUUCUCCCCUCUUUAUCAUUUUAUUAGGGAAUAGCGGACAGAGAAAAGAAAUCCUGCAGGAGGGACAAUUAGGCACAGUGGCUAACCUAGCCACUGAUGGCCCUCCCUGAAGUGAGUUCAGUUACGUAUCUACACGGAGGGCCAUCAACUAGAACAAUGUUCUGGGCCCUCACUCAGCUCCCAUAGGACAGAACACGGCUCUGCUGGCUGUGGAUUUCCUCUCCAUGGAAGACAGUCUGUCUGGAGGACACAUGUAGCUGUCUCUGUCAUGUAAUAAGGGGCCUCUCACUGUGGGAGAGGCAUGUGGUUGUCCAUCUGUGCUUGGAAUGGACAGAUGCAUUUGUUUAAUUGAGGAUUAGCAACCUUUUGCUAUAAUUUGCUUCAUGAGAAGUAAAGCUAACAUUUCUACUUUUAUCUGACUCCCAUGUUCAUAUCUCAGUUGGAAGGUAAAAAGAGGAGUAUUAUUCAUUGGCUACCUUAAUCCCUAACAAACAGAUUCCAGGGCUACUGGAAAUAACAGUACAGUUGCUAGAUUUUUGAGCUUCAGCUUCAGUGAACCCAUUAGACAGAUGCACUUGGUAGCUUUUUAGGCAUCUCUAGUCAGCUCCCUUCCUGGUCCUUGGAGGAGUUUGUACAAACAUUCUCUCCUUUCUUCAAUCUCUUUGCCUUCACUUCUUUCCUUCAACUCACCCAUCCCAAGACCUGCAUCUCAAAAUCAUUUUUAAUAAAAAGAUAAAAUGGGAUCUUCUAAGGCAUUUUGAAAUAAUCUGUUAAUAUUUUUCAACAAGAGUAAAAUGUGAAUCUGGGUUAGCAUAAUGAUCAAAGAGCCAAAGAUUAUAUUAAGUUCGUUUAAUGCUAAACAUUUUACAGGGUUAUAAUUCCAUACUUACCCUAUGAAAGGCAAUGUGUUAAGUGCCUUGGCAAGGAAAGGGUUAACAUAGUGCUAGACUCUUAUUUGCAAGUGAGAGAAAACCAGAAAGAAAAUGGGGGAUGCAGAUCACCCCUUGAAAAAGCGGAAUCCAAGUCUCUUGAGCAUGGGACCCAGACUUUUCAUCUCGUCUGCCCACUCUGCAUGCUGGCUUAUUGGCUCUCACUGCAUACAGAUUUCUUCCACAUGGGUCCCUUAGUUCCCAAGUUUCAUGUAGGAAAGUGGUCACCCCCUGGGAGGCCUGACUCUCCCUCUGACUUGCAUUUGAAAGAAAAUCACAUGAAAAGAUUCAUUUUGAUCUGUUUAGAGUCCAGGUCCCUCUCAUAGUAGCUAAUAGGACAGAGUCAAAGAGACCAUGAAUUCUUUCACUAAUUAGGAGAGGAGACAUAGGAUAUAGGGAUAGUUCCCAAGAAAGGAGAAUGUGAUUUCUCAGGAGGAGGCAGAGCACAGGGAAUAUUGGCUGCAUUCACAAAGUGGUUUUUUCUCUAAGUUCUUUUAGACCAGAAUACUGAAUUACUUCUAGCAUUUUAAAGGUAAGAAACAUGAUCAGUUAAGAUUUCGUUUUGUUUUAAAGACAUUCUUUUGAAAGUCUAUAUAUUAAGCUGCCUCGAUGCCCCAAAGUUAAUAGACCUAACCCCACAGAACAAAGCUAAGCUACUUAAUUAACUCUGGAACAGCUUUUCAGGUACAAUUCUCUACCACCAUAACGACUGCAGUCUAAUUUUUCUUACCUUGUGGGACAUCUAGAAAACUACGAUGCCCAAUUGCAAAAAGGUUUUAUUCCUUCUUUUAGUUCCAGACUCUUGGUCAUCUAUGUAGCACCUAUUUCUCCUCUCAAAGAUGUGACCUUUAAGCCCACUUGACGAUCAACAGCAUAGAACAUCUUAGAAGAACUGGGAGUCCAGCCUAUCAGGAAAACUGUCCAGACUCCAUAGACUUUGGCCCUCUAAAAAUUAUUGGACUAUUUCCCAAACUACUUAAACUAUCUCUAAAAUUCAUCAUAAAUAUAAAAAUGCUAUACUAUAAAGUUGUUUCCCAGCAUAAGUCACUAAUUGUGCUUUGCAAAUUGAACGAAAAAUAGUCUGAACUUAGAGUAAAACUGUUUAAACUACACUUCGUUAAGUAAUGCUCAUAUAUCUGGUUUGAAAAUAUGGCUAAAAGCAGUGACAAAUGUGCCUGUGGGCUGCUAUGAGUUUGGGACACGUCCACAAUGAAACAGAUGCAAAACUGCUCAAAAUUUCUAAAUGCUCAUUUAAGAAACUUUUAAAGCAAUUUGGCAUUGCAGUCACAUUCAACUGCGUGAUCAGUAGGCUCAUCUCAUGAGCAGGGAAUAUACUAUUUGGGAUGUUUUCAAGUCUGCAUGAGUAAGACAUACACCGUGGUGAACUGUGUAGUUAACGGCAUAAUUAAUCACAUUAGUCUGUACUGGACUGAUAAACAACCAUAGUGAAGUGGAGAUCAAACACAGUGAGAUAUCAAUGCACAUUCAUUCAAGCAACUAUUUUAAAAAGAGCAUUGGUGACAAUAUAGAAAAAUUGGAACAACUGUGCAUUGCUGGUUGAGAAUGUUAAAAGUUAUAAUUGAUAUGGAAAAUACUUUGGGGGGGGGGUCCUCAAAAGAAUUUUUUUUAAAAUUUGUACCGGGGAUCAAACUUACAACUGCCUGCUUGCAAGGCAGGUUCUUAUGCUGCUGAGCUAAAUCCCCAGCCCCAGUCCUCAAAAAUUUAAACAUAGAAUUACAAAAGGAUUCAGCAAUCUACUCCUAAAUAGAUGCAUAAAGGAAUUGAAAUAGCACAGCACUGCCCUGGAAAAUGCAAGGUUGUGAUUUAAGCCCUGGCUAAAAAAA